rnacentral:snRNA from 1 species
AUUACCAGUAGGUCCGGCAACUUU